rnacentral:rRNA from 1 species
UACGUAGGGUGCAAGCGUUGUCCGGAAUUAUUGGGCGUAAAGAGCUCGUAGGCGGUCUGUCGCGUCGGCUGUGAAAUCCCGAGGCUCAACCUCGGGUCUGCAGUCGAUACGGGCAAACUAGAGUAUUGCAGGGGAGACUGGAAUUCCUGGUGUAGCGGUGAAAUGCGCAGAUAUCAGGAGGAACACCGGUGGCGAAGGCGGGUCUCUGGGCCGAUACUGACGCUGAGGAGCGAAAGCAUGGGGAGCAAACAGG